rnacentral:tRNA from 1 species
GGUGGCUCAGUGGUAGAGCGCUUGCCUCGAAUGCAUGAGGCCCUGAGUUUGAUUCCUCAGCACCA